GUGUCAGCCGCCGCGGUAAUACGUAGGUGGCAAGCGUUGUCCGGAAUUAUUGGGCGUAAAGCGCGCGCAGGCGGGAAUCUAAGUCUGUCUUAAAAGUGCAGGGCUUAACCCUGUGAGGGGAUGGAAACUGGAUUUCUUGAGUGCAGGAGAGGAAAGUGGAAUUCCCAGUGUAGCGGGGAAAUGCGUAGAUAUUGGGAGGAACACCAGUGGCGAAGGCGACUUUCGGGAC
rnacentral:rRNA from 1 species